rnacentral:miRNA from 1 species
UCGUGAGUAUGACCAUGACCAUGAUCGUGAGCAUGAUCAUGAUCGUGUUUGUGAUCAUGGUCGUGUUUGUGAUCGUGGUCAUGUUUAUGA